UGUUUAGAAGCUCAUAGAAUAGAU
rnacentral:miRNA from 1 species